GGUCAACGGGCUAUGCUGGCUUGACAGGGCUGGGCUCUUCAGAACAGAAGCAUGGAUCUCGGAAUCCCUGACCUGCUGGACGCGUGGCUGGAGCCCCCAGAGGAUAUCUUCUCGACAGGAUCCGUCCUGGAGCUGGGACUCCACUGCCCCCCUCCAGAGGUUCCGGUAACUAGGCUACAGGAACAGGGACUGCAAGGCUGGAAGUCCGGUGGGGACCGUGGCUGUGUGAGUGUGACGAGUGGGAGUGGGGGUGGGGUUGAGACACAACUCUGUGAUAAGAGGCUUCAGCUCCCACUUGGAGACAGGUCUGAAAACAGACCACCCCCAAAAUAGACGUAAGUUGUAUAAUAACUGUCUCCAUGCCCAAGAAGCGAAAGGACUGAAAAUGAAGCAUAAGGCUGAUGUCAGGGAGGACUUCCAAAAUUCUUCCCUGCAUAUAUAUAUAACCUUUUCCUACUGUAGGGCCUUCAAGAGAGUGAGCCUGAAGAUUUCUUGAAGCUUUUCAUUGAUCCCAAUGAGGUGUACUGCUCAGAAGCAUCUCCUGGCAGUGACAGUGGCAUCUCUGAGGACCCCUGCCAUCCAGACAGUCCCCCUGCCCCCAGGGCAACCAGUUCUCCUACGCUCUAUGAGGUUGUCUAUGAGGCAGGGGCCCUGGAGAGGAUGCAGGGGGAAACUGGGCCAAAUGUAGGCCUUAUCUCCAUCCAGCUAGGUCAGUGUUCUUUGUGGGAAGGGGGAAAUGGCCCUUCGGGACUGGCCCUAACCAUGGGGUUAAGGGGGUUUACCCAACCUGUGCCACUACCCAGGCCCUGCGGCUGUCAGGGUGUUCCUAAGUCUCCUCUCUCCCAGCUACCUGUUCUCUACUCCAGAUCAGUGGAGCCCAGCAUUUA
rnacentral:sRNA from 1 species